CGGAGGGUGCAAGCGUUAUCCGGAUUCACUGGGUUUAAAGGGUGCGUAGGUGGGCAAGUAGUCAGUGGUGAAAUCUCCGGGCUUAACCCGGAAACUGCCAUUGAUACUAUUUGUCUUGAAUACUGUGGAGGUCAGCGGAGUAUGUCAUGUAGCGGUGAAAUGCUUAGAUAUGACAUAGAACACCAAUUGCGAAGGCAGCUGGCUACACAAAUAUUGACACUGAGGCACGAAAGCGUGGGGAUCAAACAGGAUUAGAUACCCUGGUAGUCCACGCCCUAAACUAUGGAUACUCGACAUUUGCGAUAAACUGCAAGUGUCUGAGCGAAAGCAUUAAGUAUCCCACCUGGGAAGUACGAUCGCAAGAUUG
rnacentral:rRNA from 1 species